AUCGAACGCUGGCGGCAGGCCUAACACAUGCAAGUCGAGCGGUAGCACAGAGAGCUUGCUCUCGGGUGACGAGCGGCGGACGGGUGAGUAAUGUCUGGGAAACUGCCUGAUGGAGGGGGAUAACUACUGGAAACGGUAGCUAAUACCGCAUAACGUCGCAAGACCAAAGUGGGGGACCUUCGGGCCUCAUGCCAUCAGAUGUGCCCAGAUGGGAUUAGCUGGUAGGUGGGGUAACGGCUCACCUAGGCGACGAUCCCUAGCUGGUCUGAGAGGAGGACCCGCCACACUGGAACUGAGACACGGUCCAGACUCCUACGGGAGGCAGCAGUGGGGAAUAUUGCACAAUGGGCGCAAGCCUGAUGCAGCCAUGCCGCGUGUGUGAAGAAGGCCUUCGGGUUGUAAAGCACUUUCAGCGGGGAGGAAGGCGGUGAGGUUAAUAACCUCAUCGAUUGACGUUACCCGCAGAAGAAGCACCGGCUAACUCCGUGCCAGCAGCCCGCGGUAAUAC
rnacentral:rRNA from 1 species